GCUAGUAAUGGCAGGUCAGCAUACUGCCGUGAAUACGUUCCCGGGCCUUGUACACACCGCCCGUCACACCAUGAGAGUUGGAAAUACCCGAAGCCUGUGAGCUAACUGUAAAGAGGCAGCAGUCGAAGGUAGAGCCAAUGAUUGGGGGUGAAGUCGUAACAAGGUAUC
rnacentral:rRNA from 1 species